rnacentral:rRNA from 1 species
CACGUAGGGCGCAAGCGUUGUCCGGAAUUAUUGGGCGUAAAGAGCUCGUAGGUGGUUUGUCGCGUUGUUCGUGAAAACCGGGGGCUUAACCCUCGGCGUGCGGGCGAUACGGGCAGACUUGAGUACUGCAGGGGAGACUGGAAUUCCUGGUGUAGCGGUGGAAUGCGCAGAUAUCAGGAGGAACACCGGUGGCGAAGGCGGGUCUCUGGGCAGUAACUGACGCUGAGGAGCGAAAGCGUGGGGAGCGAACAGG